rnacentral:rRNA from 1 species
AGUAAUGCCUUAGUAGCGGCGAGUGAAGCGGCAAAAGCUCAAAUUUGAAAUCUGGCACCUUCGGUGUCCGAGUUGUAAUUUGAAGAUUGUAACCUUGGGGUUGGCUCUUGUCUAUGUUUCUUGGAACAGGACGUCACAGAGGGUGAGAAUCCCGUGCGAUGAGAUGCCCAAUCCUAUGUAAGGUGCUUUCGAAGAGUCGAGUUGUUUGGGAAUGCAGCUCUAAGUGGGUGGUAAAUUCCAUCUAAAGCUAAAUAUUGGCGAGAGACCGAUAGCGAACAAGUACAGUGAUGGAAAGAUGAAAAGAACUUUGAAAAGAGAGUGAAAAAGUACGUGAAAUUGUUGAAAGGGAAGGGUUUGAGAUCAGACUCGAUAUUUUGUGAGCCUUGCCUUCGUGGCGGGGUGACCCGCAGCUUAUCGGGCCAGCAUCGGUUUGGGCGGUAGGAUAAUGGCGUAGGAAUGUGACUUUGCUUCGGUGAAGUGUUAUAGCCUGCGUUGAUGCUGCCUGCCUAGACCGAGGACUGCGAUUUUAUCAAGGAUGCUGCUAAUC